rnacentral:rRNA from 1 species
GGGGGGGGGGGGGGGGGGGGGGGGGGCGGGGGGGGCGGGCGGGCGGGGGGGGGGCGGGCGCGUCGGACGGGGGCGGCGGGCGGGUGAGGGACACGUGGGUAACCUACCUAUAGGACUGGGAUAACGGCGGGAGACCGGAGCUAAUCCCGGGCAAUCUAUUGAACCGCGUGGUUCAAGGGUGCAAGACGGGUGUGCUGGCCCUUCUAGAGUGAUCCGCGCCGCAUUAGCUAGUUGGGAAGGUAACGGCUUACCAAGGCAACGAUGCGUAGCCGACCUGAGAGGGUGAUCGGCCACACUGGAACUGAGACACGGUCCAGACUCCUACGGGAGGCAGCAGUAGGGAAUCUUCCGCAAUGGGCGAAAGCCUGACGGAGCAACGCCGCGUGAGUGAUGAAGGUCUUCGGAUCGUAAAACUCUGUUAUUAGGGAAGAACAAAUGUGUAAGUAACUAUGCACGUCUUGACGGUACCUAAUCAGAAAGCCACGGCUAACUACGUG